rnacentral:rRNA from 1 species
UCUGACCUCAAAUCAGGUAGGAUUACCCGCUGAACUUAAGCAUAUCAAUAAGCGGAGGAAAAGAAACUAACAAGGAUUCCCUUAGUAACUGCGAGUGAAGUGGGAAAAGCUCAAAUUUGAAAUCUGGCAGUCUGUUUUUUUCUUCCUUGGCUGUCCGAGUUGUAAUCUAGAGAAGUGUUACCUGUAUUGGACCGUGUACAAGUCUCCUGGAAUGGAGCCUCAUAGAGGGUGAGAAUCCCGUCUUUGACAUGGACUGCCAGUGCAUUGUGGUGUGCUCUCAAAGAGUCGAGUUGUUUGGGAAUGCAGCUCUAAAUGGGUGGUAAACUCCAUCUAAAGCUAAAUAUUGGCGAGAGACCGAUAGUGAACAAGUACCGUGAGGGAAAGAUGAAAAGGACUUUGGAAAGAGAGUUAAACAGUAUGUGAAAUUGUUGAAAGGGAAACGCUUGAUGUCAGUUGUGUCAGCUGGGGAUCAACUCAGUUGUUUUUUGCUGAGUGAAUUACCUAGUUUGACUGGCCAACAUCAGUUUUGACUGCUGGAGAAGGGUAGAAGGAAUGUGGCACCUUUGGGUGUGUUAUAGCCUUCUGUCAGAUGCAGCAGUUGGGACUGAGGAAUGCAGCAUGCCAGGAGGCUGGGCUUUGACCACGUUCAUGCUUAGGAUGUUGGCUUUAAAUGGCUUCAAUCGACCCGUCUUGAAACACGGACCAAGGAGUCUAACAUGCCUGCGAGUGUUUGGGUGAAGAAAACCCUUGUGCACAAUGAAAGUAAAGGUUGAGAUCCCUGUCAUGGGGAGCAUUGACGCCCGGACCUGAGCUUUUAGCAAUGGAUCUGCGGUAGAGCAUGUAUGUUGGGACCCGAAAGAUGGUGAACUAUGCCUGAAUAGGGCAAAGCCAGAGGAAACUCUGGUGGAGGCUCGUAGCGAUUCUGACGUGCAAAUCGAUCGUCGAAUUUGGGUAUAGGGGCGAAAGA